AGCGAACGCUGGCGGCAGGCUUAACACAUGCAAGUCGAACGGGCGUAGCAAUACGUCAGUGGCAGACGGGUGAGUAACGCGUGGGAACGUACCUUUUGGUUCGGAACACCACAGGGAAACGUUGUGCUAAUACCGGAUAAGCCCUUACGGGGAGGAGAUUUAUCGCCAAAAGAAUCGGCCCGCGUCUGAUUAGCUAGUUGGUGAGGUAACGGCUCACCAAGGCGACGAUCAGUAGCUGGCUGAGAGGAUGAUCAGCCA
rnacentral:rRNA from 1 species